ACAUGUCUACAACAUAGCGUUAAUGCACCGGAUCCCAUUAGAACUCCACCGUUAAGCAUGCUCGGGCUAGAGUAGUACUGGGAUGGGUGUUCACCCAGGAAGUCCUAGUAUUUUACAUGCC
rnacentral:rRNA from 1 species